GAAGUGAGCCGGAUGGUCGCUGCUGUGGAGGUCUCCGUGACUGAAGCAGGAGAGGAAAGUCCGGGCUUCAUAGGGCAGGGUGCCAGGUAACGCCUGGGCGGUGAAAGCCGACGGAAAGUGCAGCAGAGAGUAGACCGCCUCAUUCGUGAGGUAAGGGUGAAAGGGUGCGGUAAGAGCGCACCGCGUGUCUGGUAACAGUUCACGGCAUGGCAAACCCCACCAGAAGCAAGACC
rnacentral:RNase_P_RNA from 1 species